rnacentral:rRNA from 1 species
AUGCAAGUAGAACGCUGAAGGAGGAGCUUGCUUCUCCGGAUGAGUUGCGAACGGGUGAGUAACGCGUAGGUAACCUGCCUGGUAGCGGGGGAUAACUAUUGGAAACGAUAGCUAAUACCGCAUAAUAGUAGAUGUCGCAUGACAUUUGCUUAAAAGGUGCAAUUGCAUCACUACCAGAUGGACCUGCGUUGUAUUAGCUAGUUGGUGGGGUAACGGCUCACCAAGGCGACGAUACAUAGCCGACCUGAGAGGGUGAUCGGCCACACUGGGACUGAGACACGGCCCAGACUCCUACGGGAGGCAGCAGUAGGGAAUCUUCGGCAAUGGACGGAAGUCUGACCGAGCAACGCCGCGUGAGUGAAGAAGGUUUUCGGAUCGUAAAGCUCUGUUGUAAGAGAAGAACGAGUGUGAGAGUGGAAAGUUCACACUGUGACGGUAUCUUACCAGAAAGGGACGGCUAACUACGUGCCAGCAGCCGCGGUAAUACGUAGGUCCCGAGCGUUGCCCGGAUUUAUUGGGCGUAAAGCGAGCGCAGGCGGUUAGAUAAGUCUGAAGUUAAAGGCUGUGGCUUAACCAUAGUACGCUUUGGAAACUGUUUAACUUGAGUGCAAGAGGGGAGAGUGGAAUUCCAUGUGUAGCGGUGAAAUGCGUAGAUAUAUGGAGGAACACCGGUGGCGAAAGCGGCUCUCUGGCUUGUAACUGACGCUGAGGCUCGAA